rnacentral:lncRNA from 1 species
GGCUGUUGUCGAUGUGUUCCUGGUUUGAGCCCAGGUAGGAGUAAGGAAAGGGACGGAAGCUAUACUGUUACACUGGCAAUACUAAAGUGCCUAUAAGAACAUCCAAUAGUCAAAGGUAUAUGAAAUACAAAUCGUAGAGAGAAAUAGUCCUAUAAUAACUACAACCUAAAACUUCUUACAUGGGAAUAUUGAAGACUCAUGUAAAAAGGAACCACCGGCUUUCAUUUGUUCUCAUGUUCUGAGCAUGGGAACUUAAACGUUAGCUUUUUUACAUGGCACAUAAUGCACUUUUACUUUCUUCUCCAACACUUUGUUUUUGCAUUAUCUAAACCAAAUUGAAUAUGUUUCAUUAUUUAUUUGAGGCUAAAUAGAUUUUAUUGAUGUAUUAUAUUAAGUUACAAAUAAGUGUUCAUUCAGUAUUGUUGUAAUUGUCAUUAUUACCCCCCCAAAAAAAUUUUAAAGAAACAAAUCGGCCGAUUAAUCGGUAUCGGCGUUUUGGCCCACCAAUAAUCGGUUUCGGUAUCGGCGUUGAAAAAUCAUAAUCGGUCGACCUCUAUUAGAAAUGUCCUUGUUUUAGACAUUGUUGAUGUUGUAUCUGACUAUUGUAGCUGGAAAUGUCAGAUUUUUCAUGAAAUAUCUACAUAGGCGUACAAAGGCCCAUUAUCAGCAACCAUCACUCCUGUGUUCCAAUGGCACGUUGUGUUAGCUAAUCCAAGUUUAUCAUUUUAAAAAGGCUAAUUAAUCAUUAGAAAACGCUUUUGCAAUUAUGUUAGCACAGCUGAAAACUGUUGUUCUGGUUAAAGAAGCAAUAAAACUGGCCUUCUUUAGAUUAGUUGAGUAUCUGGAGCAUCAGCAUGUAACGGUUGUCGUCGGGAAUGGAGGACCAAAACGCAGCAGGAAUGUGGAUGCUCAUCUUGUAUUUAUUUAAAAAUUAAGAGAACACCAAAAUAACAAAAAUGAAGAACGCACGAACAACAAAACAUUCUUGACAGGCUCACACAGGCAAAACAAGAAGCAAUCUCCCACCACACCAAACCAAACAAUUACCCAUAUAUAGGACUCUCAAUCAAAGGCAACGAGAAAGCACCUGCCUCCUAUUGAGAGUCCAACCCCCCAUUAACCUAAACAUAGUUGUAUUUCUAACUAAACUAAACAUAGAAAUACAUAAACAUAGAACAGUGCCCAAAAACCCCGGAAUACAUAAAUCAAAUACCCUUCUACAAAAACACCACCCCGAACCACAUAAAACAAAUACCCUCUGCCACGUCCUGACCCAACUACAAUAACAAAUAACCCCUAUUACUGGUCAGGACGUGACACAGCAUUUGUGGGUUCGAUUACAGACUCAAAAUAGCCAGAAAGAAAAACCUUUCUUCUAAAACUCGUCAGUCUAUUCUUGUUUUAAGAAAUGAAGGCUAUUCCAUGCAAGAAAUUGCCAAGAAACUGAAGAUCUUGUACAACGCUGUGUACUACUCCCUUCACAGAACAGAGCAAACUGGCUCUAACCAGAAUAGAAAGAAGAGUGGGAGACCCCGGUGCACAACUGAGCAAGAGGACAUGUACAUUACAGUGUCUAGUUUGAGAAACAGACGCCUCACAAGUCCUCAACUGGCAGCUUCAUUAAAUAGUACCUGCAAAACACCAGUCUCAACGCCAGCAUCCCAUCCUCUUCACUGUUGAAACUGAGACUGGUGUAUCCCAAGUGAUUCCACACAUUAAAACUAGUUAGGUGGAAUUUUCCUUUUCCUCUUCUCUCUCCCUGCAGUCUAGAACUGGAAAGUGGCAAAAAUGGGUCACAUGACCUUUCUUUGUGCAUAGAUAGCUCUGCUCCGUUGUCAGUCAAAGAGCGAUUGAGAAAUUUGGACAAAUUCUUUGUUUUAUUGAAAGCAUACGGCCAAAUGAGCUAAUUUUCUCAACAGUACUAUCGGUUUUGUCUGAGUUUUUUCCCCAUUAUUUCCGAUUGUAUAUCUCUUUCGUAGUCAUCGUCGAUGAAGUGCUUAGGCUACUGCACAAACAUAGAUUUGCAAGAUUGGCUAUAGGAGUGUUUAAAUCAUAUUUACAGUUUUUUUAUUGCUACUAGCCAUCUUUUGCAUCUGUCUGUAUCUUUCAAUGGAAAACAGUAACAUUUUGUGCCUUCUUCCCUAGAUUUCUUGCAGCCACGUACCGGACACCAGCUUGCUCUUGCUGCCAUCUCUUUGGAUUUCCACUUUUCAAAACUAACUUUAGGCAACCUGUCUUUCAUCUUUUGCACCAGCUCCUUCUCCCUGCCAUUAAACUAGCAUCUGUGACAUCAAGCUCCAAAUAAGGGCAUAUGUCACAGAGUUGCCCCACGAGAGCACACAUCCGCAGUUGUU